AUUGAACGCUGGCGGCAGGCCUAACACAUGCAAGUCGAACGAGUGGCGGACGGGUGAGUAAUGUCUGGGCAACUGCCUGAUGGAGGGGGAUAACUACUGGAAACGGUAGCUAAUAACGCAUACCAUCGGAUGUGCCCAGAUGGGAUUAGCUAGUAGGUGGGGUAAAGGCUCACCUAGGCGACGAUCCCUAGCUGGUCUGAGAGGAUGACCGGCCACAUGGGAACUGAGACACGGUCCAGACUCCUACGGGAGGCGGCAGUGGGGAAUAUUGCACAAGGGGCGCAAGCCUGAUGCAGCCAUGCCGCGUGUAUGAAGAAGGCCUUCGGGUUGUAAAGUACUUUCAGCGGGGAGGCGUUACCCGCAGAAGAAGCACCGGCUAACUCCGUGCCAGCAGCCGCGGUAAUAC
rnacentral:rRNA from 1 species